rnacentral:lncRNA from 1 species
CGUGACAGGCAGUACCAGGAUUCUUUGGGCGGUGAGUGCCAGAGGGCCCCAGUCACCCAGAACCCCCACCCCGAGUCAAAGCGCUGAAAUGAGCCCCGCGGCAGGGGCCGUGUUCAUUACCUUUGAAAAUGCUCAGUUCUUCUUCGGUCCAGGGCGGGGCAGAAGGGAGGAUGCAGAGGGAGAAACAGCUGUGGAGGAGUGGGAAGGUUGAGUGGAGGAAGGGAUAUCUGCCUCCAACCACGCUAGACCCGACCUGCUGUCACCGCCCGCCCCAGCUGGAUCCAGAAUGGAAACCUGGAAUAGCAGGCAAAGCCACCCCCGACACUCCAUGUUCCUCCCCAGAACCAGCUCCCUCUCCUACCAGCUGAAUUUUCAGGACAGAGCUGCCAGGUGGCCAGUCCACAGGUGGAAGUGGAAGGAGAUUGAAAGGACCUGGGAAGAGGUUCAUUGGUCAUGGUGCCUGGCUGGUGCUUUCCAAAGCCAAGGUUGCUGGUGUGUGCCUGACAGUUCCAUAGGAAGUAGGGACUUCUGGGAGGGAGGAGGAGGUGGAAGGUGCCCUGGUCAGCAAAGUGGGGUCCAAGCCUUCUAGUCCCAACUGGGCACAUCACUUCAUCUCUGAGAGUCUCAUUUUCUUCAGCCACAACUAAUGAACAAAGUCUCCUUCAGCUCCCAAAUCCGAAUAGCUUUAAGGAUAUCCCCUGCUUGCUGCUUGUUAUUAUGUCAGGCCCUGUGCUAAGCGCUUUGCAUAUAUUACCUCAUUUAAUCCCCAUUUUGGAAGUCAGGAAACAGCCUCUGAGACAUUUUGUAACUUAGCUAAGGUCACUCAGUUGACAAAUAGUGAAGUGAUGGGAUUCAGUAGCCUCUGCUGCUAGCCACUGCCUCAGGGCAGGUAAUUAUUUCUAUGAAUUCAGCAGGGCCAAGCCAACUAGACUAAGCAAAAGAAAUGAGGAUCCAAAAAAAUUCAUGCGCUUUUUCAUGCGCGGUGAAUGCAGGAAAAGUCAUAUAUAUAUAUGGCUAUGUAAAUCAGCAACUGCAAUAUUUGAAUCAGCAUGAAUAAAAAACCAUUCCUCUGUCUCUUAAAAAAAUAGGCAGAUCUGUUUUCUUCUUCCUCAUUUCUAUCUGAGCCUCUGUACCAAGGAGAAACGGGAAUAAGACAGGACUAGAUUCUUCCCAAACACCAGGUGAUGCGGUCAGUGAGGAGAGCUCCAGAAUCAAAAGAUGAAGAAGGACCUGCCUCUAGCCCCCAAGAGGUAUGCUGUUCUUCCCACACAUCUCAGCUCUCUCCCAGCACUGAGUCCAGCCCUCCACAGAAAGGGGAGGAAAAUGCCCACCCCUAGCCCUGCCCUUCCCCAACCCUCCACACAUCACUCCUUCUUCUUCCUGCCCUCCUGCACAGUCUGAUAAUGGUGCUCUCUCUUGCUCAGCCCUUUAGCCCUGCAGACCUAGGACAGGGCAUGACUUGGGAAGGCUCCUGUGCACAGGGUGCACUGGAGGAGGUGCCCCAGGCCCUGGGCCAUGGAGAUAAUUGUGUAUCUGCUUCUCUUUUACCUUUUGGGUGGGUAGCCUCUCCUUUUUUAAGGGACACUGACUUCAACCAUGUCUACUAAUCCCUCAGUAUGGCUCCCUGGGCACUCAAGAGCAACAGUUCCAGGCAGGGACCCCCACAUCCUACUCUAAUUACUACUGCAGACACAGAGGAGACCAAUUCCAUUCCUUCCCUGGCCUCUUGGAUUCUUUGUUUACUCACCUCUUUCCA